rnacentral:lncRNA from 1 species
AAAACAAAUAUAUUUAAAAAUACUUAUGUUCCUGUCCUUCCUCUGUGACAACGUCCCAGGUCGUGUACUUUCAGCACAUCCCUGAGGAGCCUCUUCUGUGACCUCCUAUGUCCCGAGGUCACAAUAUCUCCAUUGGCAACAAGGCUGGGUUUGUAUUUUCUCAUUUAUGGCAUUUCUUUCUCUUUACUACCGUGCUACAGUAGAGCUCAUUUUUCUCUCUCAAGCUUCUGGUGUUUUUCCCUUGACAACAUUAAUCCUCAUGAAUGGCAGCAGCAGCGGCGCCUGUAGGAUAGGUCCCCCUGCAGCACAGGACGAUAAAUUGUGGAGGAUAAAUCGACUGUACAGAAGCGUAGAUGAAGAGCGAAAUGUUCCGUUUCUUUCGCGCAUCCAGAACUGUGCUUCAUAGGCUGAGAAAACGUCUUAGAUAAAUAAACUCCGUGAGGCUGGGGUUUAAAAGCAGGAAGCAGCUGAACGCGGAAACUGCCUAUUGGACUAUCAUCUGUUUAAACACCGAGAAGGAUCCUGCGAAAUCUAAAGUAAAUACAAAGGCGCAUUUGAGCAAUCUUUAAAAGAGGCUUAAAACAAACCCUAUUUAAUCCUUUUAAAUGGUGCAUCUCCCCCAGCGGAAACAGAACAUGCCAAUUAGUUGAACAUCCUGACAAACAAAAUCUCUCAGGGCUGCACAGUGAAGGGAGACAGGUGCAUCCACUUAGUGAGGUCUUUUAAGGGGAAGCCAGCUGCAUUUCUGAACAUCUACAUGGCAUAACAAAAUGAAGACAGCAUACUUGAAAGGGAGGUAAUGGCGGUGAGUGCCCAAGAGCCAGGAAAAUGAGAAGGAGAAAGGUUGUACUACCCGCCCCACUGAUGUCCUCUUCCCUCUGCUGGGAGGCUGGCAGUGUUCCCAUGCGGAAGAUUCUUUCUGCCUGGGACUGAGAACGGAACUGACUGAACAGGAGAGCUGAUGAAGCAGAGCUGCACCAGCCUGCAGAGGAUGAGAAGCACAGGCGAGUAAUACAGCUUUGUUUCUUCAAGUUGCAGACAGCUUCUGAGGUUGGUUGUUACCCUGGCAAAGCUUGGUCUGUGCUGACUGAUACAGUGGUCCAGAAAGGCAGGGCAGAGCUCAUACGGGUGGACAAUGCUGGGCAUCCAUUCCUUCAUUCGUUCACACAUUCACUGACUGCUUUUGGAGUAAACAUGGGGAUGAGAUGAGCAAAUGUGAUUCCUGCCUUCAAGUUGCUUAGAUCAUUUCAGGGAGACACAGAGCAGCAUAAACCACUGCACAGCACUGCCA